UGGACUUGCUCCACAGGACUCCGCUCCUUCCCUUCCAGCCCAGGACGCACCUUGAACAGCUACCAACAAGGUGUGCAGGAAAGAGCAAUGGCGGGGAGAAGGGUUGAGCCAGCACCCCUGGCCCAGGGAAAGGGCAGCCUCCAUUUGCCAUCCUUCUGCUAAAGCCCAGAGUUCUUGGGGGUCCCUGACCUUAUGUCAGAGGGCCGUGACAGGCGAGCCCUCCUUCCCCACGCAUCAGAACUCUUUGAUCUCUGCGGCCGGAUCGUGCUGCCCAGAUCGGGCGAUGUGAGGCGGCAAUGGCUCCUUGCGGCCACCAGAGGGCAGUGCAGGGCAGCAGGUCCCGGCAGAGGCGCAGCGAAGCAGAUGCUGGUGCCAGGAGGCCUCCCUAGGAGACAGAGGUCCACGCCCAGGUCACCUUUUCACCUACGGAGGUUCUGCCACGUGUCACCAGACAGAAACCAUGAGCUGGCUUAUCCCUAGGAGCCUGGAAACCCGUGGACAGACAGGGCCUCGCUGAAGCCUGGACCAACCUCUCCUGUCCCCCCACCCAAUGUCCAGCCGCCUCCACCCACCUGGCCCCUCAAACUGAGCAGAAAUUCCAACUGAGCUGGAAACUCAUCUCUGGUUCGAGGCUGUAUUCCUAGUGCCCAGCACAUGGUAGGUGCUCAAUAAAUGUUUGUUGAUCAAUAAAUUGAAUACAUGAAACUUGUCAUAAACA